rnacentral:other from 1 species
GCCCUCCUGCCGUGUACGCGUUUGCCAAUAUUCCUUGAACCAUUCACGCGCAUCGGCUGCGGGAUUCGUUUAGUAGGCGUGAGCGUCGCUCGUCCGACGAUCCCAAUACUGAACUACUGUGGCCACCUUGAACCGAAAGGUUCGGGAUGCCGGCUAGCGGCACAGGCGGGAAUUUC